GACGAACGCUGGCGGCGUGCCUAAUACAUGCAAGUCGAACGAAUCGGAGUGCUUGCAUUCCGGUUAGUGGCGGACGGGUGAGUAACACGUAGGCAACCUGCCUGCAAGACCGGGAUAACCCACGGAAACGUGAGCUAAGACCGGAUAGAUGGAGCGUGCACCUGUGCGUUCCAGGAAAGCGGGAGUAAUCUCGCACUUGCGGAUGGGCCUGCGGCGCAUUAGCUGGUUGGUGGGUAACGGCCCACCAAGGCGACGAUGCGUAGCCGACCUGAGGAGGGUGAACGGCCACACGUGGGACUGAGACA
rnacentral:rRNA from 1 species